rnacentral:rRNA from 1 species
AUUGAACGCUGGCGGCAGGCUUAACACAUGCAAGUCCAGCCAGCGGCGGACCGGUGAGUACUGUCUGGGAAACUGCCUGAUGGAGGGGGAUAACUACUGGCAACGGUAGCUAAUACCGCAUACCAUCCGAUGAGCCCAGAUGGGAUUAGCUAGUAGGUGGGGUAAUGGCUCACCUGGGCGACGAUCCCUAGCUGGUCUGAGAGGAUGACCAUACACACUGGAACUGAGACACGGUCCAGAAUACUACGGGAGGCAGCAGUGGGGAAUAUUGCACAAUGGGCGCAAGCCGGAUGCAGCCAUGCCGCGUGUGUGAAGAAGGCCUUCGGGUUGUAAAGCACUUUCAGCGAGGAGGCGUUACUCGCAGAAGAAGCACCGGCUAACUCCGGGCCAGCAGCCGCGGUAAUUC